rnacentral:rRNA from 1 species
UGAACGCGGCGGCAUGCUUUACACAUGCAAGUCGGACGGCAGCACAGAGAAGCUUGCUUCUUGGGUGGCGAGUGGCGAACGGGUGAGUAACAUAUCGGAACGUACCGAGCAGUGGGGGAUAACUAAUCGAAAGAUUAGCUAAUACCGCAUAUAUUCUGAGGAAGAAAGCAGGGGACCAUUUGGCCUUGCGCUGUUUGAGCGGCCGAUAUCUGAUUAGCUAGUUGGUGGGGUAAAGGCCUACCAAGGCGACGAUCAGUAGCGGGUCUGAGAGGAUGAUCCGCCACACUGGGACUGAGACACGGCCCAGACUCCUACGGGAGGCAGCAGUGGGGAAUUUUGGACAAUGGGCGCAAGCCUGAUCCAGCCAUGCCGCGUGUCUGAAGAAGGCCUUCGGGUUGUAAAGGACUUUUGUCAGGGAAGAAAAGGGCGGGGUUAAUACCCCUGUCUGAUGACGGACCUGAAGA